ACUUCAGGGCGAGGUGAAAUUCCUCACCGGCUGUGUGCGAUUUUCGUAAGUCAGCGAGCAAUAUUUUUGCAAGAUACGGUGCGAUUCCGUAACCGACAGUAAAGUCUGGAUGAAAGAAG
rnacentral:ncRNA from 1 species